UGGCUCGCCUCAGCAGCUCAUACGAUAAAAUUGGAAUGAUGCAGAGAUUAGCACGGCCCCUGUGCAAGG
rnacentral:snRNA from 1 species